rnacentral:rRNA from 1 species
AGCAGCCGCGGUAAUUCCAGCUCCAAUAGCGUAUAUUAAAGUUGUUGCAGUUAAAAAGCUCGUAGUUGAACUUCGGGGUCUACCCAUUGGUCAGGCUUAAUUGUCUGCACUGGUGGGAUGGAUCUCUACCUUCUGAGGAACUUUCAUGCCAUUUAUUUGGUGUGAUUGGAAAUCAGGACUGUUACUUUGAAAAAUUAGAGUGUUUAAAGCAGACUAUCGUCUGAAUACAUUAGCAUGGAAUAAUGAAAUAGGACGGACUGAUUCUAUUUCGUUGGUUUCUAGGAUCACCGUAAUGAUUAAUAGGGAUAGUUGGGGGCAUUAGUAUUCAAUUGUCAGAGGUGAAAUUCUUGGAUUUAUUGAAGACUAACUACUGCGAAAGCAUUUGCCAAGGAUGUUUUCAUUAAUCAAGAACGAAAGUUAGGGGAUCGAAGACGAUCAGAUACCGUCGUA